CAUGUCGCUCUUUCGGGCUGAGCCCGGCCACCAGGCGCUCGCAUGCGAGCCCCAACCCCGGGCCUGGCUCCAGUGCGGGGCCCCCGGUUGCGCCUUACCGGGCGACGUCACAGACCUUGGUUUGACUUUACUCAUAAGAGUUUUUUGAAGGGUUUUUUUCUAAUUAACCAUUGUGUUCAUUUCACGUUAAUGUUUAAUUCCCAUUCAACCAUUUCAGUGGGAAAUCCAACAUGGAAGGAAAUAUCUUUAACAUGUUUCCACUUUACAUGCCUGGUCUGUUUAGCUGGGAGCAAAACAUAAAGAUUACUCAGUGAAUAUACACCGGUUAUAAAAGGAAGAGUUACUCUCAGGCCAUGUGUUUCUCUGGGAAUGUAGGCUGUGACUUCUAGAAAGCAAAGUGUAGGAGAAGAGGUACUUUCUUUCCCCUGUCAAUCCCAGAGACACCAGUCGGACAUCUUUGAGAGCAAGUAUAUGGACGAGGGUAGACAGCACUUUGUUCCAUGUGUGUUAACCUGGCCUGUGACUCGGAAAGAAUAUCAAUUUUUUUUAAAAAUUCUCUGAGGAAAAACAUUUUAGCCUUCACACUCCAAAUCAUGUUUUGACUUGAUUUACACUCCAAGGUAAGAUUUAACUGUUCUAUUGACUUCCAUGGAAAGGAGCACGAUCUAUAGGACAUCUCCGUAUGAUUGUUUUACCACUUGAAACGGUGUUUUGUUCUGCGUGGCUCAUGUUACAAAUCUACGAUUCCUGUGAGUUCUCUCUGGAGCCAUUCAUAUUUAUUAGUACUAUACAAUCAUGAGACAUGAUUAAAAUUAAUUUUUCAGAAAUAAUGAAAAGUAACAAAAUCUAUUGCAAAAUCCUAAGAAAACGUGAUUUGUUGUUGUGAAUUUCUACCAAUUAUGUCUAACAUUGUGUUUUUUAUAUGAAUCAGGGAUGAAUUUCAAAGAAAGUCAUUUUAAAGAUGAAAGCAGACAAGAACCUGAGAUCGCUCAGGAGAUGGAGGUGAUGAACCCUAAUCCUGAAUGACCUGAGCUCCCAGAAAUAUUCUUGCUCAUGUUUUGUAAGAAUAUAACGUAUCAUAAGUCCUAUUCGGGCAGGACUAGUUUUACAGGGGGUCGUUAGAGAAAUUUUAGUUUCACAGACAUACUUGUGAUUUUAAUCCCGUCCGAAUCUGCCAUGUCUGUCUUUUUCUCACACGACCUGUGUAAAAAUUCCAGAGCAAAUUACCUACUGUUUUUCAGCAAAAUUGGCGCUCCUCUGAGAAAUCUAAUCCCGUCUGAAUGCGAAUGUCUGUGAUUGCCGAAAAUGUUUUUUCCAAAACGCGUUUUCUUGUCUGUUUUUUCUUGACCUACCGUAUUAACCGUAGCGCACCGGUAUUCAGGUUUCUGCAUUCUGCACACCAGCAAUGGAUGUAAAUGUGUUUGCUACCCUGAGAAGAAAUAAAAAAAUUAAAUUACAUAACGUGAAAAUUAUAUAAAUACGUAUUUAUUUCAAUGGGUUUAUAAGAAGUUCUAUAUAAAACCAUAUGAUGUUAACAUUUUUUACAUUUGUUUUUUUAAUUUUUUUUUUCAUUUUUAAUAUUAUUACAACGUGUAUAACAUUUUUAAACACUUAACAAGUUAGGAUGUUUACAUUUUAAAGUGCUUCAAUGUAAAUUUACUUAAUUUCAAAAUACAUUUUAUCAUAUUUUAUCAAAUAUGACCAUACGCAAUCCAUGCAUCCUGGACAUGUGGUCUUGUGCAACACCCACAUAUAAAACACAGACACUCCUACCUCCGUAAUAAACACAGGGGUGUUAGUCCCAUCCGAAUCCAUACAUGAAAUGACAGACGGCGGCUGAAAAAAAAUUCUAACUCAAACGUCGUUUGGAAAACUAGUCCCGUCCGAAUGCUUUAUCACAUUCAUUUUAACCAAAUAAUAUAAUUUCUGGAAAUAUUUGUGCUACUUAUAAAACCUUUAUAGCCUCACAUUAUGCACAUGGUUCUAAGAGGUUUUAUUCUCUUGUUGGUAGAAGUGUGUUGAAUUUAUCAUUGUUGUUUACUCGAGUUAUUAAUAGAGAAAUACAGUGGAUAUUAAUACAGAUUGCCAUUCUACAGUAAUGUUUAUGUCCAAAAUAAAGCAAGUACUGACCAGUAUAUUUCUCAUCUCAUGAUUUUUCCAGUGAACAAUAAAUCUAGUCCUGCAGCAUACUGUACCUGCUCAUGUUGCUGCUACUUCCUGAAUAUGCUGCCAAAUGCAUUUUACUCUUAAUCAA